rnacentral:rRNA from 1 species
UACGGAGGGCGCGAGCGUUAAUCGGAAUCACUGGGCGUAAAGCGUGCGUAGGCUGUUUGAUAAGUCAGGCGUGAAAUCCCUCGGCUCAACCGGGGAACUGCGCUUGAUACUGUCGAACUCGAGUCCUGGAGAGGGUGGCGGAAUUCCUGGUGUAGGAGUGAAAUCCGUAGAUAUCAGGAGGAACACCGGUGGCGAAGGCGGCCACCUGGACAGGUACUGACGCUGAGGCACGAAAGCGUGGGGAG